rnacentral:lncRNA from 1 species
UGGGCGAUAGACGCCUUCUUCUGUUUUUAUUUUUGGAGGGGAGCGCCCUGUAAUUGUCCUGAACACAUGCUUCCCCCCCUUCCUCCAGCCACCCGCGGAGGAGAGAGUCCCCCUUUUUUGCAUUUAUCUUUUCCUUCCCCUUUCUUUAUUAAAGGUCCGGGAGUGGCGGCGGCCAAUCAGCGCGCGGCUUCCAUUUUGUGAGUUCAACUCCGAGGCUCCCGGGCUUCGCGAGGACGCGUUUGCAGCCCCCUCUGCCGCUCCUCUCUGGCGGCCGAGGCGCAGGAGCCGCCUCGCCGGGGCUCGGAGCUGGUGUAGCUCAUAUUGGGGCUCUUUUCGGGGUUUGUAAUUUGGCCGUGGGUAGGUAAUUGGCUGGAGCAGGGCGGCAGGGCGCGGCAGCCAAUCAGCGCGCGGCUUCUAUAGGGCUUGAGUUAUUAGACGCUGAUCUCAAAACAUCCUUCAUCAGACACGAAGGAGAGGCCAACAGAUGAGGGAAGCCAUUUUUCUGCAAUGGAAUUAAAUGGCCAAAGCAGUAAACAGUCCUCAGCGAAGCCGCCUUUUUGCCUACCCAACCCUGGAAAGUUUGCAGAAGUGGAAGGAGCAGAACGUGAGGGUGUAACUUACAAAAAGGUUCUGGGCCGGAGAAGGGGCGACGUUCGGGCACCCCCCGAAUGGACAAUCUUUCCUUCUGUCAACGGCAGGGGCAGGCCUAGUUUGACUCUGACAGUCCUCCCACUAAGCACUACGCCCCAUCGGUGUUCGAGAAGUACACGGCCAGCGUGACCGUUGGCAGCAAGGAGGUGACCCUGAACCUCUACGACACGGCCGG